AGAGACCGCACGAGGAGGAGAGCGGGUGCACAAAAAAGUCAGUUGGUGCCGGUGACUCAGGAGACUGGAUGCAGCUGGGAACUGCUGAACACAGCCAGCCCCGGGAGCAGUGAGAGGAGACAAGUGACAGCCGCUAGGGAGAACCAGCAGAUCUUUACAAGGGGGAGCGCGUUGAGAGUGUGACGCAGCCCAGAGAAGAUGUGGUCGGGAGCCCGGAGUCUGCACGGUACCUGCCAGCUAUCCUUCCAGGCAUUGGGAGGAGAGGAGAUCACACUGAGGGUUAAUCGAGAAUCCAGUUGAUGACCGUUGGAGUGAAUCUGAAACACAAGGAAGAACAGACAGUUGUGAAGAUGCUGGCAGAAAGUACAAAAUAUGUAUAUGUUUGUGCCAACACACUUGACAAGAUGCAUGUGAGAGACUUUUAUCAUAGUCUAUAAUGUAAGGCAGGGAGAAUUUUACCCAUACAGCUAUGUAAUUGCAAAGUUGUGACA